CGAACGAAGUAGCAAUACUUAGUGGCAGACGGGUGAGUAACAUGUGGGUAUCUGCCCUUUGGCCUGGAAUAACACGAGGAAACUUGUGCUAAUACCAGAUAAGUCUUUACGGAGAAAGCUUUAUGCACCAUUGGAUGAGCCCGCACUUGAUUAGUUUGUUGGUGGGGUAAUGGCCUACCAAGACUUUGAUCAAUAGCUGAUUUGAGAGGAUGAUCAGCCACAUUGGGACUGAGACACGGCCCAAACUCCUACGGGAGGCAGCAGUGGGGAAUCUUGCACAAUGGAGGAAACUCUGAUGCAGCGAUGCCGCGUGAGUGAAGAAGGCCCUUGGGUUGUAAAGCUCUUUCGUCGGGGAAGAAAAUGACUGUACCCGAAUAAGAAGGUCCGGCUAACUUCGUGCCAGCAGCCGCGGUAAUACGAAGGGACCUAGCGUAGUUCGGAAUUACUGGGCUUAAAGAGUUCGUAGGUGGUUGAAAAAGUUGGUGGUGAAAUCCCAGAGCUUAACUCUGGAACUACCAUCAAAACUUUUCAGCUAGAGUUUGAUAGAGGAAAGCAGAAUUUCUAGUGUAGAGGUGAAAUUCGUAGAUAUUAGAAAGAAUACCAAUUGCGAAGGCAGCUUUCUGGAUCAUUACUGACACUGAGGAACGAAAGCAUGGGUAGCGAAGAGGAU
rnacentral:rRNA from 1 species